rnacentral:rRNA from 1 species
UACGUAGGGACCAAGCGUUGUUCGGAUUUACUGGGCGUAAAGGGCGCGUAGGCGGCAAUUCAAGUCAGUUGUGAAAUCUCCGAGCUUAACUCGGAACGGUCAACUGAUACUGCUUUGCUAGAGUACAGAAGGGGCAAUCGGAAUUCUUGGUGUAGCGGUGAAAUGCGCAGAUAUCAGGAGGAACACCGGUGGCGAAGGCGGGUCUCCUGGGCCGAUGACUGACG